AUGUCCAAUGCCUCCUUCCCUCUCCUCACGCGGACCAACUACCCCAGUUGGUCCGUCCUGAUGAAAGUCAUCAUGGAGGCGCGUCAUAUGUGGAAAGCCGUGGAAACCGACAAUGUCGAGUACGAGGAGGACCGGUUGGCGAUGGAGGCGAUCUUGCGCUCCGUCCCACCGGAGAUGGUGCUCACCCUUGGCGCCAAGGAGACAACCAAGGAAGCAUGGGACACCAUCAAGACUCUGCGCAUCGGCGUGGAGCACGUACGGGAGUCGAAGGCCCAGACCUUGCGCCUCCAGUACGAGGAGAUCCGGUUCAAGGCCGGUGAACAAGUCGACGACUUUGCCUUGCGACUGCAAGGUCUCGUCACCGAGCUCGCAACGCUCGGAGGUCCCAUCGACAACAAGAUGGUGAUUCUCAAGUUCCUCCACGUCGUCCCCAGGGCGGCUGAAGGUCAUUGA
rnacentral:rRNA from 1 species